UUGGAGGGCAAGUCUGGUGCCAGCAGCCGCGGUAAUUCCAGCUCCAAUAGCGUAUAUUAAAGUUGUUGCAGUUAAAAAGCUCGUAGUUGAAUUUCGGGAUCAAUGGGUUGGUCAUGCCCUCGGCAUGUACUGAUUUCAUUGGUUCUCACCUUCUAAGGAACCAUGAUGUCAUUUAUUUGAUGUUGUGGGAAAUUAGGACUGUUACCUUGAAAAAAUUAGAGUGUUUAAAGCAGGCUAACGCUUGAAUACAUUAGCAUGGAAUAAUGAAAUAGGACAUCCGAUUCUAUUUUGUUGGUUUCUAGGAUCGAUGUAAUGAUUAAUAGGGAUAGUUGGGGGCAUUAGUAUUCAAUUGUCAGUGGUGAAAUUCUUGGAUUUAUUGAAGACUAACUACUGCGAAAGCAUUUGCCAAGGAUGUUUUCAUUAAUCAAGAACGAAAGUUAGGGGAUCGAAGACGAUCAGAUACCGUCGUAGUCUUAACCAUAAACUAUGCCGACUAGGGGUCGGAUGAUGCUUAUUUUUUAAUGACUCAUUCGGCGCCUUACGGGAAACAAUCACUAGUG
rnacentral:rRNA from 1 species